rnacentral:tRNA from 1 species
GGAGGGGUGGCUGAGUGGUCUAAAGCAACGGUCCUGAAAACCGUCAGGGUGAAAGCCCUCGUGAGUUCGAAUCUCACCCCCUCCG